UUUAAUACACUGGGGACAUGGUGGGAGUGUGGCCUUUUAUACAGAGCUGGGAGAAGGAGCCAGAUAAGGCCUCACUGUUUAGGUGACAUUGGCGCAGAGACCUGAGUGAGGUUCACUGUCUGUCUCUCUUGCCAUCCCUGUGUGGACCCCACGAAGGCAAGGGCCUGGUCUCCGAUGCUCACUGCAGCAUUGGAGGGGGUGUCGCCGGUACCCACCCUGAUGCCUAUCAAUGCGAUGGGACGCCUGUGCCCCAGCAGCUGUGGUAUUCAGUGCCAAAGACCCCCACCUGUACUUCUUUGGAGAACGACUGAUUAGAGCUGUCUUGCUAGGACACACCAGGGGCGUCGGGACAAGACCAGAACAAAGACUGGGCAAGGUGCUGACGGAGAGGUUGACGGCGGUGACGGUCACGAAGAGCACCGACAGGCAGGCGAACACCUUGCCAGGCAGCCCCGAGUGCGGCCUCUCCACCAUGUCGCGCAGUCGCCGCAUGCAGCGCCCCAGGCGGCCCUCGCCCUCGGCUGGGCCCUCACUGUCGCGGCCCUCGCUGUCCAGCGCGUCGUCCUCUUCCUCUCGCUCCACCAUCUCCGCGAACUCCUCAAUCUUCUGCAGGUAGCGGCGCUUGCAGCAGCCGUCCAGGUGGUCCUCCGCGAUGCCCCAGUACAGCAGCUCCUCCUGGAAGGACAGAGCGCACAUCUCGCGCAGCAGCCGCAGCUUGCCUGCGCGCAGGAAGGUCAGGAUAGUGCCGAAGGCCCCCGGGUUGCGGUCGAAGAAGAACUCGUUGCAGGUGACGUCGUAGU
rnacentral:antisense_RNA from 1 species